rnacentral:rRNA from 1 species
AAGGAAUAUUGUGCAAUGGGCGAAAGCCUGACACAGCGACGCCGCGUGAGGGAAGACGGCCUUCGGGUUGUAAACCUCUUUUCUCAGGGAAGAAUAAUGACGGUACCUGAGGAAUAAGUCUCGGCUAACUACGUGCCAGCAGCCGCGGUAAUACGUAGGAGGCGAGCGUUAUCCGGAUUUACUGGGCGUAAAGCGGGCGUAGGUGGCUUUUCAAGUCGGAUGUGAAAUCUCCCUGCUUAACGGGGAGGGGUCAUUCGAAACUGUUGAGCUAGAGGGCAGCAGGGGGAGGUGGAAUUCCCGGUGUAGUGGUGAAAUGCGUAGAUAUCGGGAGGAACACCAGUGGCGAAGGCGGCCUCCUGGGCUGUUACUGACGCUGAGGCCCGAAAGCGUGGGGAGCGAACAG